rnacentral:rRNA from 1 species
CGAACGAGAGCUUGCUCUUGUUUGGUCAGCGGCGGACGGGUGAGUAACACGUGGGCAACCUGCCCGCAAGACCGGGAUAACUCCGGGAAACCGGAGCUAAUACCGGAUAACACCAAAGACCGCAUGGUCUUUGGUUGAAAGGCGGCUUCGGCUGCCACUUGCGGAUGGGCCCGCGGCGCAUUAGCUAGUUGGUGAGGUAACGGCUCACCAAGGCGACGAUGCGUAGCCGGCCUGAGAGGGUGACCGGCCACACUGGGACUGAGACACGGCCCAGACUCCUACGGGAGGCAGCAGUAGGGAAUCUUCCGCAAUGGACGAAAGUCUGACGGAGCGACGCCGCGUGAGCGAAGAAGGCCUUCGGGUCGUAAAGCUCUGUUGUGAGGGACGAAGGAGCGCCGUUUGAAUAAGGCGGCGCGGUGACGGUACCUCACGAGAAAGCCCCGGCUAACUACGUGCCAGCAGCCGCGGUAAUACGUGAGGGGGCGA